rnacentral:rRNA from 1 species
GGCUUAGAACUAACGCUGGCAGUGCGUCUUAAGCAUGCAAGUCAAACGGGAUGUAGCAAUACAUCUAGUGGCGAACGGGUGAGUAACGCGUGGAUGAUCUACCUAUGAGAUGGGGAUAACUACUAGAAAUAGUAGCUAAUACCGAAUAAAGUUAAUUAAUUUGUUAAUUGAUGAAAGGAAGCCCUUAAAGCUUCGCUUGUAGAUGAGUCUGCGUCUUAUUAGCUAGUUGGUAGGGUAAAUGCCUACCAAGGCGAUGAUAAGUAACCGGCCUGAGAGGGUGAACGGUCACACUGGAACUGAGAUACGGUCCAGACUCCUACGGGAGGCAGCAGCUAAGAAUCUUCCGCAAUGGGCGAAAGCCUGACGGAGCGACACUGCGUGAAUGAAGAAGGUCGAAAGAUUGUAAAAUUCUUUUAUAAAUGAGGAAUAAGCUUUGUAGGAAAUGACAAAGUGAUGACGUUAAUUUAUGAAUAAGCCCCGGCUAAUUACGUGCCAGCAGCCGCGGUAAUACGUAAGGGACGUGCGGGGCUCGGGAUUAUUGGGCGUAAAGGG